UACGAAGGGGGCUAGCGUUGCUCGGAAUUACUGGGCGUAAAGGGCUCGUAGGGGGCCAACUAAGUCGGACGUGAAAUCCCUCGGCUUAACCGGGGAACUGCGUCCGAUACUGGUUGGCUUGAGUUUGGGAGAGGGAUGCGGAAUUCCAGGUGUAGCGGUGAAAUGCGUAGAUAUCUGGAGGAACACCGGUGGCGAAGGCGGCAGCCUGGACCAAUACUGACGCUGAGGAGCGAAAGCCAGGGGAGCAAACGGG
rnacentral:rRNA from 1 species